AGCAGUGAGGAAUAUUGGUCAAUGGUCUAAGGACUGAACCAGCAAUUUGGAGGAAUGAAAAACGAAUAAGUCGUAUAAAAUUCUAGAUAAAAAAUUGAUAAUGACUAAAUUUUAUCUAUAAGUCUUGACCAAAUUACGUGCCAGCAGUCGCGGUAAUACGUAGAAGACAAGUGUUAUUCAUCUUUAACAGGUUUAAAGGGUACCUAGACGGGAGAUCAAGCCAUAGAAGGGACUAAUUUCCUAGAGUUUUAUGUGUGAAGAGUCGAACUACCUAAGUAGCGUCAACAUGCGAUGAUAAAGGUGGGACGGAUGGCGGCGAAGGCAUUCUUCUAUGUAUAAACUGACGUUGAGGGACGAAGCCUAGAGUAACGAGAAGGAUUAGAUACCCAAGUAGUUCUAGGAGAAAAUGAUGAGUGCCAUAGGCUAGAUAUUAGUUUAUAAAUGAAAGUGUAAGCAUUCCACCUCAUGAGUAAAGCGGCAACGCCGAAAUUGAAAUCAUUAGACCGUUUCUGAAACCAGUAGUGAAGUAUGUUAUUUAAUUCGAUGGUCCGCGAAAAAUCUUACCACCUCUUGAAUAUUUUUACAAGCGCUGCACGGCUGUCUUCAGUUAAUGUCGUGAGAUUUUGGUUUGUUCCAUUAAUUAACGAAAACCCUUGCUUUAUUUUUAUAUAAAGCAGUUCACCGUUAGAUUGGAUAGGAUAAACGGGAUCAAGACAAGUCAUCAUGGCCUUAAUGAGCGUGGGCUAUA
rnacentral:rRNA from 1 species